GACGAACGCUGGCGGCGUGCUUAACACAUGCAAGUCGAACGGAAAGGCCUGCUUUCCCUUGUGGGUUGCGGGUACUCGAGUGGCGAACGGGUGAGUAACACGUGAGUGAUCUGCCCCCAACUUGGGUAUAAGCCUGGGAAACUGGGUCUAAUUCCCGGUAGGACUGCAGGGUGGUGCCUGCGGUGGAAAACGAUUUUCUAGUGGUUGGGGAUGAGCUCGCGGCCUAUCAGCUUGUUGGUGGGGUAAUGGCCUACCAAGGCGGCGACGGGUAGCCAGGGGGAGAGGGGCGACGGCCAGAGUGGGACUGGGACCAGGCCCCGACGGCAACGGGAGGCAGCAGUGGGGAAUAUGGCACAAGGGGCGGAAGCCUGACGCAGCGAGGGCGCGAGGGGGAUGACGGCCUUCGGGUUGUAAACUCCUUGCGACCGCGAGGAAGCCACCUGGUUGGAAGGGUGGUGACGGUAGUGGGAGAAGAAGCACCGGCUAACUACGUG
rnacentral:rRNA from 1 species